rnacentral:rRNA from 1 species
GGGUCAGUAGGUUGGUCGUGCCACCGGUACGUACUGGUCUCACUGAUUCCUCCUUCCUGAAGAACCGUAAUGCCAUUAAUUUGGUGUUGCGGGGAAACAGGACUGUUACUUUGAAAAAAUUAGAGUGUUUAAAGCAAGCUAACGCUUGAAUACAUUAGCAUGGAAUAAUGAAAUAGGACGAUCGAUCCUAUUUUGUUGGUUUCUAGGAUUGACGUG